AACCCAUGGUGAGGACAUCUUCUUAGCAAAUUUUUAUACCUUUCCCAAGCCUCAUAUACUGUUUCAAAAUCAAAUUGCACAAAAGAGGUGAUCUCAUUACGCAUCAU
rnacentral:snoRNA from 1 species